CCAAUAGCGUAUAUUAAAGUUGUUGCAGUUAAAAAGCUCGUAGUUGAAUUUCGGGGUCAGUAGGUUGGUCGUGCCACCGGUACGUACUGGUCUCACUGAUUCCUCCUUCCUGAUGAGCUGUAAUGCCAUUAAUUUGGUGUUGCAGGGAAUCUGGACUGUUACUUUGAAAAAAUUAGAGUGUUUAAAGCAGGCUAACGCUUGAAUACAGUAGCAUGGAAUAAUGAAAUAGGACGUUCGAUUCUAUUUUUUUGGUUUCUAGGAUCGAUGUAAUGAUUAAUAGGGAUAGUUGGGGGCAUUAGUAUUCAAUUGUCAGAGGUGAAAUUCUUGGAUUUAUUGAAGACUAACUACUGCGAAAGCAUUUGCCAAGGAUGUUUUCAUUAAUCAAGAACGAAAGUUAGGGGAUCGAAGACGAUCAGAUACCGUCGUAGUCUUAACCAUAAACUAUGCCGACUAGGGAUCGGAUGAUGUUAAUUUUUUAAUGACUCAUUCGGCGCCUUACG
rnacentral:rRNA from 1 species